UACGGAGGGUGCAAACGUUGCUCGGAAUCAUUGGGCGUAAAGCGCACGUAGGCGGCUUUGCAAGUCCGAUGUGAAAUCCCACGGCUCAACCAUGGAAGUGCAUCGGAAACUGCAGAGCUUGAGUACAAAAGAGGAUCGCGGAAUUCCCGGUGUAGAGGUGAAAUUCGUAGAUAUCGGGAGGAACACCAGUGGCGAAGGCGGCUCACUGGACCGGAACUGACGCUGAGGCGCGAAAGCGUGGGGAGCAAACAGG
rnacentral:rRNA from 1 species